UCACGCGACACUUCCUCCUCUUUCUCUCUCACGCUUCAUUCACCGAGCUCAAAACCCUAACCUAGUGAUCCUCCUCCUUCUUCCUUCCUCGAAUCUUUUGUCUCUCUGUCUCUCUGCUCUUUUCGGUCUCCUCUUCGAUGGCCACCCCGACCACAACCACCUCUGUUAUAUCCUCUCUUAAUCACUCUAUAGUCCAAUUUCCUAACCUUCCGAAUGUACGUGCAAUUAGAUUUUGGUUCCCAAAUGGCGAUGCCUUUCUCCACCAUUCAUGUUCCCAAUCAACGAUUCCGUUCAGAUUAAGAUAGCGACCAUCACCCGCCGCCGAACUAUGAAAACUCACCUGACGACACCCAAAAUUAGAAAGCUAUUUCUCACUCUCUCUUGAAGCUUUUCAAUCUGAAUCUAGCAUCGCCGGUGUAUCCGACCAUCAACCAUCGUCUCCUCGCUCCUUCUCCUUUUUAUUUCCUGCACUUUCCCUCACACUUGUAGUUUCUUUUUAUUUUAUUUUUCUUGUCAAAUUUAUUUGCAGGUUGCAAUUUUUUUAAUCUUAGGGUUUUGAAUUUGGGGAUUUUGCAACAACCUAUCAAAUUUCUUGCUCUCGUCAGAAAUUGGAGUUUAUCUCCACAUGUAGAUUGACUUUCCAUGCCGAGUUCAGUCAUUGUGAUUUCAAUUUAGAUCGGUUGAGAAUGAACUACCCCAAAUGAUUGAGAGACUCGUAAGAUGCGAGGCUUCUGGUUAUCAGAAGCUUUUGAUGAAGAGGGUAGAGGAAAAUCUGGGUUCAAUUACUAAUUUAAAGGCCCGAUCAGUGCACAACUCUGUUAUGGAGCUUCAAAAUAUAUGCAAUCAUCCAUAUCUCAGCUAGCUUCAUGUAGAGGAGGUUGAUAACUUAAUACCAAAGCACUAUCUACCACCAAUUAUAAGGCUUUCUGGGAAGCUUGAGAUGUUUGAUCGAUUAUUUCCCAAGCUAAAAGCAACAAACAUACGCUUUAAGCAGUAUUGGUACCUUAGGUUGGAUGGACAUACAUCUGCUGGUGAUCAUGGUUCCCUUAUUGAUAUAUUCAAUAAACCAAAUUCUCCUUUUUUUUCAUAUUUUUUCAUAUUUCUUCUCAGGGUUGGAAGAGCACUCUUUUACUGGCUCACUGAGGCUGCUAUUAAAGAUCCAUUGUCUAAGCCUCUGGUCAUUUGACUCAAAGGAGGUCUUUCAACAUGUCUUUUGGUGAGGAAUGUUACAAGCAAGGAGGAUGUUAGUUAUCACCAUACAUAUGGUUCAAAAGUUUUGUUCAGUAGCUUUGUGUGUAACUCUGAAGUUCAACAAGAAGCUUAGUAGUUUUAGGUAUUUUGAUGCUUGUAAUUGUGAUUGUUGGUUUGUAAUUGAAAUGAGUUCAUAUGGUAUCUUAACAUUUUUCAAUUUAUA